ensembl:snRNA U2 U2 spliceosomal RNA
AUCGCUUCUCGGCCCUUUGGCUAAGAUCAAGUGUAGUAUCUGUUCUUAUCAGUUUAAUAUCUGAUACGUCCUCUAUAUGAGGACUACAUAUAAAAUUGAUUUUUAGAACAGGGAGACGGAAGAGGCUUGCUAUGUCUGCUCCAUGCAUCGACCUGGUAUUACAGUACCUCCAGGAAUGGUGCACCUCCU